rnacentral:rRNA from 1 species
CCUACGGGUGGCAGCAGUGAGGAAUAUUGGUCAAUGGACGAGAGUCUGAACCAGCCAAGUCGCGUGAAGGAUGACUGCCCUCUGGGUUGUAAACUUCUUUUAUAUGGGAAUAAAAUGUUCCACGUGUGGGAUUUUGUAUGUACCAUAUGAAUAAGGAUCGGCUAACUCCGUGCCAGCAGCCGCGGUAAUACGGAGGAUCCGAGCGUUAUCCGGAUUUAUUGGGUUUAAAGGGAGCGUAGGUGGAUUGUUAAGUCAGUUGUGAAAGUUUGCGGCUCAACCGUAAAAUUGCAGUUGAAACUGGCAGUCUUGAGUACAGUAGAGGUGGGCGGAAUUCGUGGUGUAGCGGUGAAAUGCUUAGAUAUCACGAAGAACUCCGAUUGCGAAGGCAGUUCACUGGACUGCAACUGACACUGAGGCUCGAAAGUGUGGGUAUCAAACAGGAUUAGAUACCCCUGUAGUC